rnacentral:rRNA from 1 species
AACGCGAAGAACCUUACCCAGGCUUGACAUCCUCUGCAAGCCGUAGAAAUACGGUGUUCAUAGCAAUAUGACAGGGAGACAGGUGCUGCAUGGCUGUCGUCAGCUCGUGCCGUGAGGUGUUGGGUUAAGUCCCGCAACGAGCGCAACCCUCGUCGUGUGUUGGUCCACAAGAUCUCUCACACGAGACCGCCGGUGAGAAGCCGGAGGAAGGUGGGGAUGACGUCAAGUCAGCAUGGCCCUUACGUCUGGGGCUACACACGUGCUACAAUGGAUGCGACAACGAGUUCCAAGCUCGCGAGGGUAAGGCAAUCUCUUAAACGCAUCCUCAGUUCGGAUUGAAGGCUGCAACUCGCCUUCAUGAAGUCGGAAUCGCUAGUAAACGCAGAUCAGCUACGCUGCGUUGAAUACGUUCCCGGGCCUUGUACACACCGCUCGUC